rnacentral:ncRNA from 2 species
ACCGGAAUCAAACUCCUAGCCCUGGCGCCUAAGUGAUGCGUAUACGACGCAUGAUAUGGCGCCCCGGCCGUGGCCGGAACGGUCACCAGGGUGCGAGGUAGAAAUGCCUGCAUCUCCCGUAUUUGGAAAGGUGUUUAUGGCGAGUCAA